rnacentral:rRNA from 1 species
AGAGUUUGAUCCUGGCUCAGGAUGAACGCUAGCGACAGGCUUAACACAUGCAAGUCGAGGGGCAGCAUGGUUUGUAGUAAUACAGAUUGAUGGCGACCGGCGCACGGGUGAGUAACGCGUAUGCAACUUACCUAUCAGAGGGGGAUAGCCCGGCGAAAGUCGGAUUAAUACCCCAUAAAACAGGGGUCCCGCAUGGGAAUAUUUGUUAAAGAUUCAUCGCUGAUAGAUAGGCAUGCGUUCCAUUAGGCAGUUGGCGGGGUAACGGCCCACCAAACCGACGAUGGAUAGGGGUUCUGAGAGGAAGGUCCCCCACAUUGGUACUGAGACACGGACCAAACUCCUACGGGAGGCAGCAGUGAGGAAUAUUGGUCAAUGGCCGAGAGGCUGAACCAGCCAAGUCGCGUGAAGGAAGAAGGAUCUAUGGUUUGUAAACUUCUUUUAUAGGGGAAUAAAGUGGAGGACGUGUCCUUUUUUGUAUGUACCCUAUGAAUAAGCAUCGGCUAACUCCGUGCCAGCAGCCGCGGUAAUACGGAGGAUGCGAGCGUUAUCCGGAUUUAUUGGGUUUAAAGGGUGCGUAGGUGGUGAUUUAAGUCAGCGGUGAAAGUUUGUGGCUCAACCAUAAAAUUGCCGUUGAAACUGGGUUACUUGAGUGUGUUUGAGGUAGGCGGAAUGCGUGGUGUAGCGGUGAAAUGCAUAGAUAUCACGCAGAACUCCGAUUGCGAAGGCAGCUUACUAAACCAUAACUGACACUGAAGCACGAAAGCGUGGGGAUCAAACAGGAUUAGAUACCCUGGUAGUCCACGCAGUAAACGAUGAUUACUAGGAGUUUGCGAUACAAUGUAAGCUCUACAGCGAAAGCGUUAAGUAAUCCACCUGGGGAGUACGCCGGCAACGGUGAAACUCAAAGGAAUUGACGGGGGCCCG